rnacentral:rRNA from 1 species
GAUGUACGCUGGCGGCGUGCCUAAUACAUGCAAGUCGAGCGAACAGACGAGGAGCUUGCUCCCUUGACGUUAGCGGCGGACGGGCGAGUAACACGUGGAUAACCUACCUAUAAGACUGGGAUAACUUCGGGAAACCGGAGCUAAUACCGGAUAAUAUAUUGAACCGCAUGGUUCAAUAGUGAAUGACGGUUUUGCUGUCUCUUAUAGAUGGAUCCGCGCCGCAUUAGCUAGUUGGUAAGGUAACGGCUUACCAAGGCAACGAUGCGUAGCCGACCUGAGAGGGUGAUCGGCCACACUGGAACUGAGACACGGUCCAGACUCCUACGGGAGGCAGCAGUAGGGAAUCUUCGGCAAUGGGCGAAAGCCUGACGGAGCAACGCCGCGUGAGUGAUGAAGGUCUUCGGAUCGUAAAACUCUGUUAUUGGGGAAGAACAAAUGUGGAAGUAACUAUGCACGUCUUGACGGUACCUAAUCAGAAAGCCACGGCUAACUACGUG